GACGAACGCUGGCGGCGUGCUUAACACAUGCAAGUCGAGGGCACUAUUGGGGGCAACCUGGGUAGUGACCGGCGAACGGGUGCGUAACACGUGAGCGACCUUGCCUCGUGGUGGGGGAUAGCCGGCCCAACGGCCGGGUAAUACCGCAUAUGGUAGUUUCUUCGCAUGAGGAGACUAGCAAAGCCUUGGAGCAAUCCAAUGGCGCCACAGGGGGGGCUCGCGGCCUAUCAGCAGGUUGGGGGGGUAAUGGCCCACCAAGGCGACGGACGGGUAGCUGGUCUGAGAGGAUGGCCAGCCACAUUGGGACUGAGACACUGCCCAGACUCCUACGGGGGGCUGCAGUAACGAAUCUUCCGCAAUGCACGCAAGUGUGACGGA
rnacentral:rRNA from 1 species